GGACGAACGCUGGCGACGCGCUUACCACCUGCAAGUCGAACGGAAAGGCCUGCUUUCCCUUGUGGAUUGCGGGUACUCGAGUGGCGAACGGGUGAGUAACACGUGAGUGAUCUGCCCCCAACUUGGGUAUAAGCCUGGGAAACUGGGUCUAAUUCCCGAUAGGACUGCAGGGUGGUGCCUGUGGUGGAAAACGAUUUUCUAGUGGUUGGGGAUGAGCUCGCGGCCUAUCAGCUUGUUGGUGGGGUAAUGGCCUACCAAGGCGGCGACGGGUAGCCGGCCUGAGAGGGUGGACGGCAACAUUGGGACUGAGAUACGGCCCAGACUCCUACGGGAGGCAGCCGUGGGGAAUAUUGCACAAUGGGCGGAAGCCUGAGGCAGCGACGCCGCGUGGGGGAUGACGGCCUUCGGGUUGUAAACUCCUUUCGACCGCGAGGAAGCCACCUGGUUGGAAGGGUGGUGACGGUAGUGGUAGAAGAAGCACCGGCUAACUACGUG
rnacentral:rRNA from 1 species